GCCCCCAUAGCUCAAUAGGAAGAGCGGGUGGCUUCGGACCACCAGGUUGCAGGUUCGAGUCCUGCUGGGGGCU
rnacentral:tRNA from 1 species